rnacentral:rRNA from 1 species
UAGAGUUUGAUCCAUGGCUCAGGACGAACGCUGGCGGCGUGCUUAACACAUGCAAGUCGAACGAUGAACCACUUCGGUGGGGAUUAGUGGCGAACGGGUGAGUAACACGUGGGCAAUCUGCCCUGCACUCUGGGACAAGCCCUGGAAACGGGGUCUAAUACCGGAUACUGACCCGCUUGGGCAUCCAAGCGGUUCGAAAGCUCCGGCGGUGCAGGAUGAGCCCGCGGCCUAUCAGCUUGUUGGUGAGGUAAUGGCUCACCAAGGCGACGACGGGUAGCCGGCCUGAGAGGGCGACCGGCCACACUGGGACUGAGACACGGCCCAGACUCCUACGGGAGGCAGCAGUGGGGAAUAUUGCACAAUGGGCGAAAGCCUGAUGCAGCGACGCCGCGUGAGGGAUGACGGCCUUCGGGUUGUAAACCUCUUUCAGCAGGGAAGAAGCGAAA